rnacentral:rRNA from 1 species
CUCGAGUGGCGAACGGGUGAGUAACACGUGGGUGAUCUGCCCUGCACUUCGGGAUAAGCUUGGGAAACUGGGUCUAAUACCGGAUAGGAGCCAUCUUUAGUGUGGUGGUUGGAAAGUUUUUUCGGUGUAGGAUGAGCUCGCGGCCUAUCAGCUUGUUGGUGGGGUAAUGGCCUACCAAGGCGGCGACGGGUAGCCGGCCUGAGAGGGUGUACGGCCACAUUGGGACUGAGAUACGGCCCAGACUCCUACGGGAGGCAGCAGUGGGGAAUAUUGCACAAUGGGCGCAAGCCUGAUGCAGCGACGCCGCGUGGGGGAUGAAGGCCUUCGGGUUGUAAACUCCUUUCGCUAGGGACGAAGCUUUUUGUGACGGUACCUAGAUAAGAAGCACCGGCUAACUACGUGCCAGCAGCCGCGGUAAUACGUAGGGUGCGAGCGUUGUCCGGAAUUACUGGGCGUAAAGGGCUCGUAGGUGGUUUGUCGCGUCGUCUGUGAAAUUCUGGGGCUUAACUCCGGGCGUGCAGGCGAUACGGGCAUAACUUGAGUGCUGUAGGGGUAACUGGAAUUCCUGGUGUAGCGGUGAAAUGCGCAGAUAUCAGGAGGACACCGAUGGCGAAGGCAGGUUACUGGGCAGUU